CGAAACAGUUUUUCCUUAUCUACAGACGUGAACUGACAACUUGAGAGCUAACUUGUGAGACACAAAAUUAUCUCUUUUGUUGUUGUUGUUGUUGCUGCUGUGUUUCAGGCUGUGACUGAAGCAGUCCGGAAUGAAUAGCACUGAAGUCUGUGCAUCAGACGAUACUGAUGCUGAGAAACAGCAUACGACUAUUUACAGCACACAAAGGAACACAGAGUCUUCGGGCAGACAGUAUGUGAAUGUGUUGUUGGAUCUCAGCGAAGAGGAUUGUAGCAGGGAGCACAACAUACAUUCGCUUCAGAGCCGCACUGGCUGGGAAGACGCUGUUGAAGGUUGGGGGACAUUUCCUCCUUUUGGUGCAUUUCUUCAACUGCCACGGAAGGGGAAAAAAAUCAAGCAAGACACAAUAGACUCUCACUGUCUCCUCUGUGCGGACCUGAACCUUUCUGAUCUGCCAAUCUAUUGCUCUGCUGGAAAUGCUCUGAAAACUUUCAGAAAGACUGCCCCAACACUUCUGGAUCUUGCAGAGGAAACGGACAAUUCCUCGUCAGAUGAACUAUACUCUUUCAGCUUAUCUCUGCAAAAUAUGUCAGAGCCAUUAAUCAACAAAUUGCUGUCUGGAGAUGAACAGUGUAAACAAAACAAAUCACCAUCAGUCUGCCAUUACCAUAUAGAACCGUGCCAAAUUCAGAGGGAAAAUAGAGUUGCUCUUAGCAUCAGAAGCUUUAGUGUGUUGCCGCCUGUCAAAGAGUCCAGAAACCAGAGGAACUACAGUCUUUUUAAAAGGGUGGAGCCAACAGAUUGCCAUCCAGCAGAAGUUGUCACCAAGGCCAUGAUGCCCGAUGCCACCGGUGCCGUCACUGAUGGUGAAAUAUUGAGUGUCAGUGGUGACACAGGAAAUGUCUUCAAGGCCCUCAUAGACUUUAUCCCAGAAGAGAAUGGCUACAGGUUAAAAAGACCUCCCAGCACAAAGCAUUGGCUGUCCCAGGUCAACAAUCACCUGCCAUCUAUUUUUAACAUAACUUUUCAAAAUAAGUAUGAUUUACCCUCCAGCCCUGUGUCAAAUACAUUACCCCAGUCUUCCUACCCCCUGGGAAGAAACCUCAGGCAGGAAGAAUUGACAAGGCCUUCCACCAGGAACAACACCAGUUAUAGGUUGUAUUCUGACCACAAAGCAAGAGAUCUGAAACGACCUGAAGCUCAUCGACUAAUGCUGAUCGGAACGAGAGUUCACAUGCCUAUGUGAAUAUUAUUGAUCUUUGAACUCUCUGUACAUUGUAGCACCAUACUGUUUGGAGUUAAAUACGUGUUGUGAUUCUGUUUGAGACAAGAGCCUCACACUCCGGUGUACUUGAAAAUGUGUGCUACAUGAAAAUGACUAGGCAACAUAAAGGGAUAAAGAGAAAUCUGUUUUUUUUUCUUUCUGAAACUGCAGGAUUCAAUUACUCAGAACCUUGCUAUUUUACUAUGCAUGUUCAGCGUUCAAACUAGCUCAACAAUCACUGUCCA
rnacentral:lncRNA from 1 species